GGGCCAAUACUAAAACCUCAGUUCAUCUUGAAGAGAGACAUGAAAAUCAUGCUGAAUAGGAUUACACUGAGGCUA
rnacentral:snoRNA from 1 species